UCAGUACGGGAGGCAGCAGUAGGGAAUCUUCGGCAAUGGGGGCAACCCUGACCGAGCAACGCCGCGUGAGUGAAGAAGGUUUUCGGAUCGUAAAGCUCUGUUGUAAGUCAAGAACGAGUGUGAGAGUAACUGUUAUGCGUGUGACGGUAUCUAACCAGAAAGCCACGGCUAACUACGUGCCAGCAGCCGCGGUAAUCUGA
rnacentral:rRNA from 1 species